rnacentral:tRNA from 1 species
GCGCUGGGCUUCAAAACCGGGGGCGCGUU